rnacentral:misc_RNA from 1 species
GGCAGCAAGAGGUGAGGAAGCACAGUGCUUUACUGUUAGCAAUAUUAAGAAAGUUUGAAGUUUGAAAAAAAAAAUUGCAUUAGAUCCAAUUUAUUUUGUUCCUAGUGGUUUUUUAUGGCAUUAUGUGUGUCCAGUAUACUUUCCUUACUUAAAAUCAUCUACUGUAGCUAACUUGAGGUGGCUAGGUUUCCGUUUAAGGUAAAAUUCAACCAUGGUAACUCUCAUUGUUCUUUCACAGCAGUGAAUGCUUGUCAUGAAAAUAUUUGCAGUACAAACAUUAUGCUGCUGCUUAAUUUUUAACCUCAUUGGCAUGGGAUGUAUCUAAUAAAUGCUUGACCUUGUAUGAAAACAAGCUUAAUAACUAUUAGAUUAAAUAUUUCUAUCAAGAUUUAUGCAGAAUCAAUUAAAGUAUGAAUAAUGAGUGCAUGAAUAUAAAUGCAAAUAUUUAAUUCAAUGGUUGUUAAGUUCAUUAUCAAAUAAGAUCAAGCUUAUAAUAGUUGCAUCUCAUUGGCAUUGCUUAUUUAUGCUUGCUGAUAUCUGUGCUUACAUAGGUUUGUGGUAUCCGUGAAAAGC